rnacentral:rRNA from 1 species
GAUGAACGCUGGCGGCGUGCCUAAUACAUGCAAGUCGAGCGAACGGACGAGAAGCUUGCUUUUCUGAUGUUAGCGGCGGACGGGUGAGUAACACGUGGAUAACCUACCUAUAAGACUGGGAUAACUUCGGGAAACCGGAGCUAAUACCGGAUAAUAUUUUGAACCGCAUGGUUCAAAAGUGAAAGACGGUCUUGCUGUCACUUAUAGAUGGAUCCGCGCUGCAUUAGCUAGUUGGUAAGGUAACGGCUUACCAAGGCAACGAUGCAUAGCCGACCUGAGAGGGUGAUCGGCCACACUGGAACUGAGACACGGUCCAGACUCCUACGGGAGGCAGCAGUAGGGAAUCUUCCGCAAUGGGCGAAAGCCUGACGGAGCAACGCCGCGUGAGUGAUGAAGGUCUUCGGAUCGUAAAACUCUGUUAUUCGGGAAGAAAAUAUGUGUAAGUAACUGUGCACAUCUUGACGGUACCUGAUCAGAAAGCCCCGGCUAACUACGUG